rnacentral:misc_RNA from 1 species
GAAAUGCGAUACGUUAUGGGAAUUGCAGAAUUUUACGAGUCAUCGAAUUUUUGAACGCACAUUGCGCCAGAUGGUAUUCUAUCUGGCACGCCUGUCCGAGCGUCUUUUGCAAACAUCGAAAAUGCAACAUUUUCGGCCAUGCGGUACGGAAGCUCUCUGAGUCGACUACCGUUAACGCAAUUAGGGGUUUCAAUGACCUUCAACGAGAGUGCUUAACGUUCAUUGAAGACAUUGAAAUUGCAACCUAUUACCAAGUAGGCACAACUCUGCCACUUUGACAAGUAUUUGACCUCGGAUCAGGCGGGAAGACCCGCUGAACUUAA